UCCAGGCAAGCGGCGUGCCCAUCUGAAGCAUGAGGCUCCAGGCAAGCGGCGUGCCCAUCUGAAGCAUGAGGCUCCAGGCAAGCGGCGUGCCCAUCUGAAGCACGAGGCUCCAGGCAAGCGGCGUGCCCAUCUGAAGCACGAGGCUCCAGGCAAGCGGCGUGCCCAUCUGCAGCACGAGGCUCCAGGCAAGCGGCGUGCCCAUCUGCAGCACGAGGCUCCAGGCAAGCGGCGUGCCCAUCUGCAGCACAAGGCUCCAGGCAAGCGGCGUGCCCAUCUGAAGCACGAGACUUCAGGCAAGCGGCGUGCCCAUCUGAAGCAUGGGGCAUCAGGCAAGCUGUGUGUCCCUCCGAAGCACGUUUUGUAGUACGCUGCUUCCGGCUGCAAGGCUAUCAAAGUGGUGGGUUUCGGUUUUUACGCUCAACUUAUGACAACGCAAGGCAUGUUCUGCCAGCCUGCUUGCAUGACUCUGUUGAGAUGUCUCUGAAGAUUGUGCUUAGAGGCAAACUUGCCUUGGCAGCGUGGACAAUUGUUCAGUCACAUUCUGGGCAAUCAAACGUCUGAAACUAGAGCUUAUUUCAAUGCAAAGUGUUUGAUCACAGAGAAGAAAACAGACAUUAAUUCCAGAACUUUGACAGAGUAACUUUAUUGCACCUUUACUGCUCCCUUUUCAGCACCUCUGAAUCUCCCAGAGCUUCUGUGCCAGCUCCAGCAGUAUCUGAAAAGAAAGAAUCAAGUGAUCUCAUAAUCUGGAAUUGUGAGACUGCGCAACAGCUAAUGCAAAGCACAUUUCUCUGUCGUUUGUGCAGGAGUGCAAGCUCAGGUUGACCCAUGCAACCAUGUUUGAUGAAUGUGUUCCAAAACUAAUUAGUUCCUGCUGCAUAAAGAUAACCAUUUUAACAUCACCCAGAUCAUAUAAAUACCUAGGUCUUCUGGCACACCCUCACAUGGGUGACUCCAUAGGUCGGCGAAUUCACUCAUGAUGUCCAUCACAGACAUCAUUCACCAUCACAUCACUCAGAAUGAUGUGAUGUUGAG